UGAAGAGGACAGAGAGAAGAUGACAGAUCCAGAACCCUGCAGAAUGAAAUAUACCAAAUAUACUGAAGAAGAAACAGUGUUGAUUGAAGAAAAUGAACUGAGUGAAGAACUGAAUGAAGAACUGAGUGAAGUUAAGGAGAAAAAUCAUAUUAAAACUGGAAAAAAA